rnacentral:rRNA from 1 species
CCUACGGGAGGCAGCAGUGAGGAAUAUUGGUCAAUGGACGAGAGUCUGAACCAGCCAAGUAGCGUGAAGGAUGACUGCCCUAUGGGUUGUAAACUUCUUUUAUAUGGGAAUAAAAUGUUCCACGUGUGUGAUUUUGUAUGUACCAUAUGAAUAAGGAUCGGCUAACUCCGUGCCAGCAGCCGCGGUAAUACGGAGGAUCCGAGCGUUAUCCGGAUUUAUUGGGUUUAAAGGGAGCGUAGGUGGACUGUUAAGUCAGUUGUGAAAGUUUGCGGCUCAACCGUGAAAUUGCCUUUGAAACUGGUAGGCUUGAGUACAGUAGAGGUGGGCGGAAUGUGUGGUGUAGCGGUGAAAUGCUUAGAUAUCACGCAGAACUCCGAUUGCGAAGGCAGCUCACUGGACUGCAACUGACACUGAGGCUCGAAAGUGUGGGUAGCAAACAGGAUUAGAUACCCGGGUAGUC